rnacentral:rRNA from 1 species
GAUGAACGCUGGCGGCGUGCCUAACACAUGCAAGUCGAGCGAUUUACUUCGGUAAAGAGCGGCGGACGGGUGAGUAACGCGUGGGUAACCUGCCCUGUACACACGGAUAACAUACCGAAAGGUAUGCUAAUACGAGAUAAUAUACUUUUAUCGCAUGGUAGAAGUAUCAAAGCUUUUGCGGUACAGGAUGGACCCGCGUCUGAUUAGCUAGUUGGUAAGGUAACGGCUUACCAAGGCGACGAUCAGUAGCCGACCUGAGAGGGUGAUCGGCCACAUUGGAACUGAGACACGGUCCAAACUCCUACGGGAGGCAGCAGUGGGGAAUAUUGCACAAUGGGCGAAAGCCUGAUGCAGCAACGCCGCGUGAGCGAUGAAGGCCUUCGGGUCGUAAAGCUCUGUCCUCAAGGAAGAAACAAAUGACGGUACCUAAGGAGGAAGCCCCGGCUAACUACGUGCCAGCAGCCGCCGUAA